AUUGCAGACUGUAAAGGAAAAAUUGAACCAAGUUGCACGUUCUAUUGGUCAACCGUUGAAUGCUGAUACACUCUUUUUUAAGGCACCCUUUGAAGAAGUGCCAGAAUUAUUUGCUGGCCGCAGGGUUUUCCUACAAAAAGGUUUUGCUUAUGUUGCGAUGCAUCAGGU